rnacentral:rRNA from 1 species
UGGGGAAUAUUGCACAAUGGGCGCAAGCCUGAUGCAGCCAUGCCGCGUGUGUGAAGAAGGCCUUCGGGUUGUAAAGCACUUUCAGCGGGGAGGAAGGCGUUAAGGUUAAUAACCUUGGCGAUUGACGUUACCCGCAGAAGAAGCACCGGCUAACUCCGUGCCAGCAGCCGCGGUAAUACGGAGGGUGCAAGCGUUAAUCGGAAUUACUGGGCGUAAAGCGCACGCAGGCGGUUUGUUAAGUCAGAUGUGAAAUCCUCGGGCUCAACCUGGGAACUGCAUCUGAUACUGGCAAGCUUGAGUCUCGUAGAGGGGGGUAGAAUUCCAGGUGUGGCGGUUAAAUGCGUAGAGAUCUGGCGGAAUACCGGUGGCGAAGGCGGCCCCCUGGACGAAGACUGACGCUCAGGUGCGAAAGCGUGGGGAGCAAACAGG